AAGGAUAUAUCAGUACACUAACACUCUACCUGCUGGUGGCAGAUCGUAAGUCACCUAUUCCAGCCCCUGCAUCACUUUCUGGUGGAGAAAACUCUUGAAAUAAAAUGAUGUCGUCUGGUCAUUGAAUGACUUUCUAAUCGGCAAACACACUCCUCUUGAAUGGCUUUCUUGUUUAUUGGUGUGCAUCAUUCCUGUCUGAGCUGCAAAGGUUUGUGACUUAUUGGUAUUUAACUGCCUGCUAGUUGACUGCAUAUUACUGUUGAACGGAAACUAUUUAUCUACCCCUUGCAUCUCAACUACAACCACUAUCCUAAGAGAUCUAAAGCUUUUUUUAGGAAAAUGAUAUCCAACCUGCCGGAUCUAAGAGUUCUAAAGUCAUACUCGGUGAUCAAGUCACUAAUUCCUGUCUGUAAAUUUAACAUAUAUUACUUUUGGAUUUUUGUCAUCCAAGAAGUUUUAUUUCUGCUAGUUUUAUUACAUCUUUUUUACUUUUGUCA